AGUCAUAUGCUUGUCUCAAAGAUUAAGCCAUGCAUGUCUCAGUAUAAACUUCUAUAUGGUGAAACUGCGAAUGGCUCAUUAAAACAGUUAUAAUUUAUUUGAUGGUUGCUUACUACAUGGAUAACUGUGGUAAUUCUAGAGCUAAUACAUGCAUCAAUACCCAACUUCUUGGAAGGGUUGUGUUUAUUAGAUACAGAACCAACCCAGGCUCGUCCUGGUUUUGUGGUGAUUCAUGAUAACUGAAUGAAUCGUAUGGCAUCCGCUGGCGAUAAAUCAUUCAAAUUUCUGCCCUAUCAACUUUCGAUGGUAGGAUAGUGGCCCACCAUGGUUUCAACGGGUA
rnacentral:rRNA from 1 species